rnacentral:rRNA from 1 species
CCCGCUCAGAACCUUAAGGAAUUGACGGGGCCCGCACAAGCGGUGGAGCAUGUGGUUUAAUUCGAUGAUACGCGAGGAACCUUACCUGGGCUCAAAUGUAUGUUGACGUAUUCUGAAAGGGAUACUUCUUCGGACAAUAUACAAGGUGCUGCAUGGUUGUCGUCAGCUCGUGCCGUGAGGUGUCGGGUUAAGUCCCAUAACGAGCGCAACCCCUAUCAUUAGUUGCCAUCAGGUCAAGCUGGGGACUCUAAUGAAACUGCCUACGCAAGUAGUGAGGAAGGUGGGGAUGACGUCAAAUCAGCACGGCCCUUACGUCCAGGGCUACACACGUGCUACAAUGGCCGGUACAAAGGGCAGCUACCUGGUGACAGGAUGCUAAUCUCAAAAGCCGGUCUCAGUUCGGAUCGGAGUCUGCAACCCGACUCCGUGAGGCUGGAAUCGCUAGUAAUCGCGCAUCAGCCAUGGCGCGGUGAAUACGUUCCCGGGCCUU